UUUAACUUCUUUUUUGUUGUACAUACCAAUGAACUUUAUCAAUUGGCAUCGGUGGCAUUCUGCCUACUUGUGGCUUGGUGUAGUGAUAAGUUGGGUUUAAGUCUCGAACUUGGUUCCUUUGCUGCGGGCAUGAUGAUAUCAACAACAGAUCUUGG